rnacentral:rRNA from 1 species
UGAACGCUGGCGGCAGGCCUAACACAUGCAAGUCGAGCGGUAGAGAGAAGCUUGCUUCUCUUGAGAGCGGCGGACGGGUGAGUAAUGCAUAGGAAUCUGCCCGGUAGUGGGGGAUAACCUGGGGAAACCCAGGCUAAUACCGCAUACGUCCUACGGGAGAAAGCAGGGGACCUUCGGGCCUUGCGCUAUCAGAUGAGCCUAGGUCGGAUUAGCUAGUUGGUGAGGUAAUGGCUCACCAAGGCGACGAUCCGUAACUGGUCUGAGAGGAUGAUCAGUCACACUGGAACUGAGACACGGUCCAGACUCCUACGGGAGGCAGCAGUGGGGAAUAUUGGACAAUGGGCGAAAGCCUGAUCCAGCCAUGCCGCGUGUGUGAAGAAGGUCUUCGGAUUGUAAAGCACUUUAAGUUGGGAGGAAGGGCAGUUACCUAAUACGUGAUUGUUUUGACGUUACCGACAGAAUAAGCACCGGCUAACUCU